GAUGAACGCUGGCGGCGUGCUUAACACAUGCAAGUCGAGCGAGAAGUUUUGAAAAGAUUCUUCGGAUGAAAUUUAAAAUGGAAAGCGGCGGACGGGUGAGUAACGCGUAGGCAACCUGCCCCAUACAAAGGGAUAGCAUUUGGAAACGAAUAUUAAUACCUUAUGAAACUUAACUAGUGCAUGCUAGGUAGGUCGAAGAUUUAUCGGUAUGGGAUGGGCCUGCGUCUGAUUAGCUAGUUGGUGAGGUAACGGCUCACCAAGGCGACGAUCAGUAGCCGACCUGAGAGGGUGAACGGCCACAUUGGAACUGAGACACGGUCCAAACUCCUACGGGAGGCAGCAGUGGGGAAUAUUGCACAAUGGGGGAAACCCUGAUGCAGCAACGCCGCGUGAACGAUGAAGGCCUUUGGGUCGUAAAGUUCUGUUCUAGGUGAUGAAAACUGACAGUAACCUAGGAGAAAGCCCCGGCUAACUCCGUG
rnacentral:rRNA from 1 species